rnacentral:rRNA from 1 species
CCCAAAGGACUUGGCGGUGCCUCAUACCCACCUAGAGGAGCCUGUUCUUGAAUCGAUAAUCCCCGUUCAACCUCACCACCCCUUGUUUGACCCGCCUAUAUACCGCCGUCGUCAGCUCACCCUGUGAAGGUCUUAAAGUGAGCAAAAUGGGUACAACCCAAAACGUCAGGUCAAGGUGCAGCGUAUGAGGUGGGAAGAAAUGGGCUACAUUGCCUGCUCCAGGAUAUUACGAAAGGGGCUGUGAAACCGGUCCCUGAAGGUGGAUUUAGCAGUAAGGAGGAAAUAGAGAGUUCUCCUGAAGCCGGCUCUGAGGCGCGUACACACCGC